UACGAAGGGGGCUAGCGUUGUUCGGAAUCACUGGCGUAAAGCGCACGUAGGCGGAUUGUUAAGUCGGGGGUGAAAUCCUGAGGCUCAACCUCAGAACUGCCUUCGAUACUGGCAAUCUCGAGUCCGGAAGAGGUUGGUGGAACAGCUAGUGUAGAGGUGAAAUUCGUAGAUAUUAGCUAGAACACCAGUGGCGAAGGCGGCCAACUGGUCCGGUACUGACGCUGAGGUGCGAAAGCGUGGGGAGCAACAGGG
rnacentral:rRNA from 1 species